UACGAAGGGGGCGAGCGUUGUUCGGAUUUACUGGGCGUAAAGGGCGCGCAGGCGGCUAGUUUUGUCGAGUGUGAAAGCCCCGGGCUUAACCUGGGAACUGCGCUCGAAACGGGCUGGCUAGAGAUCGGGAGAGGAGAGUGGAAUUCCCAGUGUAGAGGUGAAAUUCGUAGAUAUUCGCAAGAACACCAGUGGCGAAGGCGGCUCACUGGCCCGGUACUGACGCUGAGGCACGAAAGCGUGGGGAGCAAACAGG
rnacentral:rRNA from 1 species